UAACUCACUAUUAAUUUAUUAAUUACAGGUUGCGAUUAUUACAAAUUACAAUUAUUUUUGCUUAUUUAUACGUCUUUGAGGAAUGAAGCUAACAAAUCUAAUAGACGAUUGGCAUUGAAAGAGACAUUAGAUUUCCAUUGCAUAAGCUACCAAAGAAAAUGUCAAAUAUAUUCUUCUAGACUUUCCUUUCUUCUCAUUGUAUAAUUUAACAUUUCGGGUGGAACGUGCGAUUGCAGCGCUCAACGGUGAAAUAUGCAAUAUACUUACCUACGAUUCUCGAAUAUAUCGAUAUUUCUCACGAUUUAAGCGGGAACAAUGGCGGAAUGAAGUUUACACCCCGUCUGUAAAGAAGGAAGUAUAAUUUGGAAAAGUCAUUAGGAAAGAAGUGUUAUUCGGAAGUGCUGAGUUAACAUUUGGUGUGGAAUGCGCGACUGCAGCGCUCCAACGGUGAAAUAUGCAAUAUAUUUCCUAUGAUUCUCCAAUAUAUCGAUAUUUCUCACGAUUUAAGCGGGAACAAUGGCGGAACGAAGUUUACACCUCGUCUGUACAGAAGGAAGUAUAAUUUGGAAAAGUCAUCAGGAAAGAAGUGUUAUUCGGAAGUUCUGAGUUAACAUUUGGUGUGGAAUGUGCGAUUGCAGCGCUCCAACGUUGAAGUAUGCAAUAUACUUUCUACGAUUCUCGAAUAUAUCGAUAUUUCUCACGAUUUAAGCGGGAACAAUGGCGGAACGAAGCAUAUCUCGUCUGUAAAGAAGGAAGUGUAAUCUGGAAAAGUCAUCAGGGAAGAAGUGUUAUUCGGAAGUUCUGAGGUUAUUCCUUGGUUACAAAGAUAGCAUAGAACGCUACGAACAUAUUAAUGAACAAUCCAAUGCACUUUUACGGAAAGUUGGUUUUACUUAGGACAUUGUAUUUAUUUUGGGUAACAUUUUCUAUAUAAUUUAUAUAUAUUCAAAAUUUAAGUCACAAUACGUAAUUUCGCAAUUAUAUGGGAUACAAGGAUGAAAAUGGAUAUCAAUUAAUAUUUUAUUUCGAACAUGGAGAUCGUAACUUAAUGGUAUAUAUUUUCAAAUGGAUAUAUG